rnacentral:rRNA from 1 species
UACGAGUGGAGCGAGCGUUGUUCGGAAUCACUGGGCGUAAAGCGUACGCAGGCUGUUAUGAAAGUCAGAAGUGAAAUCCCAGGGCUUAACCCUGGAAUGGCUUUUGAAACUCCAUAACUCGAGUCCCGGAGAGGUUGGCGGAAUUCUCAGUGUAGAGGUAAAAUUCGCAGAUAUUGAGAGGAACACCAGUGGCGUAAGCGGCCAACUGGACGGGUACUGACGCUCAUGUACGAAAGCGUGGGGAUCAAACAGG